rnacentral:lncRNA from 1 species
UUUCCUUAUUCUACAUCCCUUCCUAAAUUCUUAAGUUGACCUCUCAGAUAAGGCCUUACCUCUACCUAGACCUUCACAAACCCUAAGUGAGCAUAGCAGUCAUCUUCUGUCUGGGAUUUCUGGUGAUCUAGGUGAUUCCAAUACCUGAAUAUUGGUUGACUGGAGCCUCCCCAGUACUGAAAUAGACAAGUUUGUGUGUGGGGUAAGGUCCACAUGAGAUCUUCUUAAUCCUCAGUGUAGUUUAGUAGUUAACAUCAAGGACUCUGAGCCAGUAUGCAUAGAUUCUAAAUUCUAUCUCCUGCUAGCUAUGUGACCUUGAAUAAGAAAUGUAAAUAUGUCUCUGUUCUACUCAAAAUGAAGAUAACUCCUAUCUCUGACAAUUAAUGUCAGGAUUAAAUAAUUAGCUCCUUAAAAUACAGAAGCUGGAACACUUGGUAAACAUUACAGAAGAGUAAUAAUAUUUCUAUCUUUUGAGAKAACCCUCCUGGUCCCCCUACCCUCUUCCUACUGGAGAGGUGUCUCAUAGAGUCCACAGAAUGAGGAAAAAAGGAGGCUUUGAGUCUUUGAAUACUACAUUAGGGUUAGAUUAAAUAGACAACCAAACCCAACGAACAAUCAUUCCAAAAGCUUGGGAACCCACCUCUUCUCUCGGUUCCUAGACUAACCGCGACGCCUGUUACCAGGGUAACCAGAUGGUACAACUUGUAAUUAAGCCCGGGAAGCUCCAGCCAGAGAAGGUCUCUACACGCAGUUCCGGAAUGUUCCCCUCGUGGUGCCGGGCUUGCACUUCAGCUGGACCCGACCGGUGUUCUCUUCCAAGAAAGCGCCUGCUUCCUUUCCGUAGGCGUCGGCCCCUAGAGUGCCCAGGAAACCCUCCCAGAGGGAGUCUUGGGUCUCGGAUAGGAAGGAAAGAUUUCUCGCGAGCACGACUUCCGGCCUGGAAGGGAAGCCUCCUCCUUUUUCUCCCAGAUCGCUUCCUCCCCCCACCCCCGCCACGCGAGGCUGCGGCGCACGAUUGA